ACGGGUGAGUAACACGUAGGUAAUCUGCCUCAAGGAGGGGGAUAACACCGGGAAACUGGUGCUAAUACCCCAUAUGUGAUAAUCUGAAAUGUUUAUCAUGAAAGCUCCGGCACCUUGAGAUGAGCCUGCGGCUGAUUAGCUUGUUGGUGGGGUAAAGGCCUACCAAGGCAACGAUCAGUAGCCGGUCUGAGAGGAUGAUCAGCCACAAUGGAACUGAGACACGGUCCAUACUCCUACGGGAGGCAGCAGUAGGGAAUUUUGCGCAAUGGGCGAAAGCCUGACGCAGCAACACCGCGUGUGGGAUGAAGCUUUUCGGAGUGUAAACCACUGUCAGAGGGGACGAAACCUGACGGUACCCUCAAAGGAAGCAUCGGCUAACUACGUGCCAGCAGCCGCGGUAAGACGUAGGAUGCAAGCGUUGUCCGGAAUUAUUGGGCGUAAAGCGUUCGUAGGCGGCCUGUCAAGUCUGAUGUUAAAUCUCGGAGCUCAACUCCGAUUCAGCAUUGGAUACUGACAAGCUAGAGUGCAGGAGAGGCAAGGGGAAUUCCUAGU
rnacentral:rRNA from 1 species